rnacentral:rRNA from 1 species
AGUAAGACCCCUUGAAGAACACAAGGUUGAUAGGUCAGAGGUGUAAGUAUGGUAACAUAUUUAGCUGACUGAUACUAAUAGGUCGAGGGCUUGACCAAAUAA